GACGGAGGGUGCAAGCGUUGUUCGGAUUGACUGGGCGUAAAGGGCGUGUAGGCGGUCGGCCAAGUCUGAUGUGAAAGCCCGAGGCUCAGCCUCGGAAGUGCGUCGGAAACUAGUCGGCUGGAGCGCGAUAGAGGAGGGUGGAAUUCCUGGUGUAGCGGUGAAAUGCGUAGAUAUCAGGAGGAACACCGGUGGCGAAGGCGGGUCUCUGGGCCGAUAUUGACGCUGAGGAGCGAAAGCGUGGGGAGCAAACAGG
rnacentral:rRNA from 1 species